rnacentral:rRNA from 1 species
UUGCUGGGCGGCAGGUUUACACAUGCAAGUCGAGCGGGCGAGGUUGCUUCGGUAACUGAGCUAGCGGCGGACGGGUGAGUAAUGCUUAGGAAUCUGCCUAUUAGUGGGGGACAACAUUCCGAAAGGGAUGCUAAUACCGCAUACGUCCUACGGGAGAAAGCAGGGGCUCUUUAUGACCUUGCGCUAAUAGAUGAGCCUAAGUCGGAUUAGCUAGUUGGUGGGGUAAAGGCCUACCAAGGCGACGAUCUGUAGCGGGUCUGAGAGGAUGAUCCGCCACACUGGGACUGAGACACGGCCCAGACUCCUACGGGAGGCAGCAGUGGGGAAUAUUGGACAAUGGGGGGAACCCUGAUCCAGCCAUGCCGCGUGUGUGAAGAAGGCCUUUUGGUUGUAAAGCACUUUAAGUGGGGAGGAGGCUUACCUGGUUAAUACCUGGGCUAAGUGGACGUUACCCACAGAAUAAGCACCGGCUAACUCUGUGCCAGCAGCCGCGGUAAUACAGAGGGUGCGAGCGUUAAUCGGAUUUACUGGGCGUAAAGCGCGCGUAGGUGGUUAAUUAAGUCAAAUGUGAAAUCCCCGAGCUUAACUUGGGAAUUGCAUUCGAUACUGGUUAGCUAGAGUAUGGGAGAGGAUGGUAGAAUUCCAGGUGUAGCGGUGAAAUGCGUAGAGAUCUGGAGGAAUACCGAUGGCGAAGGCAGCCAUCUGGCCUAAUACUGACACUGAGGUGCGAAAGCAUGGGGAGCAAACAGGAUUAGAUACCCUGGUAGUCCAUGCCGUAAACGAUGUCUACUAGCCGUUGGGGGAUUUGAUCCUUUAGUGGCGCAGCUAACGCGAUAAGUAGACCGCCUGGGGAGUACGGUCGCAAGACUAAAACUCAAAUGAAUUGACGGAAGGCG